UAGGUCGUUCCAAGCAGCCUCCUUCGCCU
rnacentral:sRNA from 1 species